GUUGACCUCGAAUCAGGUAGGACUACCCGCUGAACUUAAGCAUAUCAAUAAGCGGAGGAAAAGAAACCAACAGGGAUUGCCCCAGUAACGGCGAGUGAAGCGGCAACAGCUCAAAUUUGAAAUCUGGCUCUCAGGGCCCGAGUUGUAAUUUGUAGAGGAUGCUUUUGGCGAGGUGCCUUCCGAGUUCCCUGGAACGGGACGCCACAGAGGGUGAGAGCCCCGUAUGGUCGGACACCGAGCCUCUGUAAAGCUCCUUCGACGAGUCGAGUAGUUUGGGAGUGGUGCUCAAAAUGGGAGGGAUAUGUCUUGUAUAGCAAAAUACAGGC
rnacentral:rRNA from 1 species